rnacentral:rRNA from 1 species
UCGGGAAUUUUGGGCAAUGGGCGAAAGCCUGACCCAGCAACGCCGCGUGAAGGAUGAAGUAUUUCGGUAUGUAAACUUCGUAAGAAUAGGAAGAAUAAAUGACGGUACUAUUUAUAAGGUCCGGCUAACUACGUGCCAGCAGCCGCGGUAAUACGUAGGGACCAAGCGUUGUUCGGAUUUACUGGGCGUAAAGGGCGCGUAGGCGGCAAUUCAAGUCAUCUGUGAAAUCUCCGGGCUUAACUCGGAACGGUCAGAUGAUACUGCUUUGCUAGAGUGCAGAAGGGGCAAUCGGAAUUCUUGGUGUAGCGGUGAAAUGCGUAGAUAUCAAGAGGAACACCUGAGGUGAAGACGGGUUGCUGGCUGACACUGACGCUGAGGCGCGAAAGCCAGGGGAGCAAACGGGAUUAGAUACCCACGUAGUCCCUGAGCGGGCUGGCAAGGCGCAU